AUGAGGGAGCCAAUACCAAGAUCUAUUAAAUACAACUCUAUAAUUGAAAAAAAGCAAAUUUUAACAAUACAAUGUAUUAUUUCUAGUUCAUUUUCUGUUAUCUUUGAGUUUGUUUGUUUCAGAGUCAGAGAGCGUGUCUCUGUACAGUCUGAGGUUUUUGUACGAUGCUUCAACCAGUUUGUAUCACUGUGGUGGACUUUUGGUGGAGGAACCAGACUGGAAGUUGACUUGGGUCAUGUGCCCCCCUCCCUGACCGUGCUCCUCCCCUCCACCAAGGAGCUGCAGCAGGGGAAGGCCACACUCAUGUGUGUGGCCAACAAGGGCUUCCCCUCAGACUGGACUCUGUCCUGGAAGGUGGUCGGCAGCAGCAGCAGCAACUGGGAGGAGAGCAGGAGCCCCGGGGUGCUGCAGAAGGACGGCCUCUACAGCUGGAGCAGCACCCUGAGGCUCUCUGCAGACCAGUGGGAGAAGGUGACCUGUGAGGCCAAGAGAGGAUCCCAGACUGCAGUCUCAGAGACUCUCAGGAGAGACCAGUGCUCCCAGUCCUGAACUGAAGCAUUCACAUAACUGUUCUCUUUAAUUGCUUCUUUCAAAUUUUUAUUCAAUUGACAAAAUUUUUCUUUUCAUUGU